rnacentral:rRNA from 1 species
AAUUUUGGACAAUCGGCGCAAGCCUGAUCCAGUACUGGCGCGUGCAGGAUGAAGGCCUUCGGGGUGUAAAUUGCUUUUGUACGGAACGAAAAGUCUUGGGUUACUACCCCGGGUUCACGACGGUACCGUAAGAAUAAGCACCGGCCAACUACGUGCCAGCAGCCGCGGUAAUACGUAGGGUGCAAGCGUUAUUCGAAAUUAAUGGCGGAAAGCGUGCGCAGGCGGUUUUGUAAGACAGUGGUGAAAUCCCCGGGCUCAACCUGGGAACUGCCAUUGUGACUGCAAGGCUGGAGUGCGGCAGAGGGGGAUGGAAUUCCGCGUGUAGCAGUGAAAUGCGUAGAUAUGCGGAGGAACGCCGAUGGCGAAGGCAAUCCCCUGGGCCUGCACUGACGCUCAUGCACGAAAGCGUGGGGAGCAAACAGG